CCACCAGGAGAGAGCCGCCAGACAGUACAGCCCACCCGUUUUAUAUCCUCUCAGGCGGUCUGUGCUUUAUUGGGGUAAAUAUGCAGGACAUAGAAACUCUGCCACUGGACCCCUCGGCCGGGGGACACAGCAGCAGCGUUGCAUGCUUUCUGGGUGCAGCGCAGCCAGCACCACCGGCCAGAGCACCCCAUCUUCCCGAUCAACCGGACACCCCUUGGCUCAUUGGCCCUGUCGGCCCUCCGUCCUGGGGGCAGAUGGAUGGCCGUCACCUCCUCAGGCUGCCUCCUGAGAUGCAGAAACAUUCACGGGUCUCGCGAGUCCCGGUGGUGGGUGUCGCGGCAGCCAGCCCCGGCUGGACAGACGAGGCUCGGGCCCUGCUGCCCACCUGCCGGCCGCAGCCCUGACAGCCAAGGGGGAUCUCACCCCCCAGCCUCUGGUUGUCAUUAGCUGCUCCCGGGCGGGAGGUGGGUGCUGCAGCCAGCAAGGAUCCAGGCUCACGCGGGGCCACCUGGGCCUCAUUACUCUUAAGUGGUCGGGUCUGAGAGUGCCGGGGGGGGGGGGCUGCCCCCACUCUGGGCUAGCACCGUGGGGGCUUUGCCAGAGUGGAACUGAACUGGGUCCACCCCGGAGCCCAGAGGGCGGUGAAUGGGAGGCAGAGCCCAUCCUGGGAAUGGACCAGAAGAAAGGGAGCGGGGGUGGGGGAAGGGGCAUCAGAUCCUGGUCCUUCCUUGUCGCCUGCGGUCCCUCUGCCACCACUCCCCGAAGCUGAUCUGGAGCACACGCGUCGUUAAAGCCNNNNNNNNNNNNNNNNNNNNNNNNNNNNNNNNNNNNUCUUCACGGGCGGGCCUGAGAGAUGGGCGCCCGUCCGGCCCUGGCGUCAUCGUCUCCGCGUCUCUACCCACUGAGCAAAGACACACGAAAUGAAGCUCGAACGAGCACAGCCAAAGAACGGCCGUUUCUGUCCUUUCUUCUUAAUCCCUUUGGCUUAGGGUUUCCCGGCCUGGACAGCCUGCCCAAGGGCACAUGGGCAUCCGUCCGGGGACAUUCAGGCAGUGACCAAUCCCAGGCCACCCAGGCUGCGCCCUGCGUCGUGGGCCAUUUCCCAGCCGGCCAGAGAUGGAGCAGCCACUGCGGGUCCCCGAGUCUCGCACCAACCCGGAGACCACCCUCGGCCGGAGCCCAGCACGGCCACCGUCACGUCUCGGUCGUCCAGCUUGGGACAGCCCCCAAGGAGAAGAGGUGCUGAACUGGGUCCCCUGGAGGCUCCUGAGCCCCAGAACAGUGCCCUCUGAGCAGACGGGCACUCUCAGACCAGCUCCCGCUGGACAAGUCAGCUCCUGCCUGCCGCCUGAUGGGCCCUUGGGAGAAGCAGACAUGGUGAGGAAAAGGUCCCUGUGCCCUUCACCCUAAUUCCCCAGCCCCAAGUCCCACUGGGUUGCCAGCUUCAACCUAAGCAAAUAAUUCGUGCCCUCUAAACAAACGCGCGGGAAUCCCACCUGCCCUUCCCCCGCCCGCCCCCCCACCCCUGGCCUUGACCUCCAAAAGCACUUGAGGGGGCUUUCUCCAGACACCCUCCAACCCCGACCCCAUGAAGAAGGGGUGAUGGGGCUGUUACCCCAACAAGCAAGAGAACGAAGCCCAGAGAGGAGUUGGCGUGGACAGCAGGGGUCAGGCCCCUUUGCCCCGAGGGCAGGGCUGGUGCCACCUGGGUCAGGCGGCAGGCCCUGGAAAAGCACCGGAAAUGAGCACACCUGGGUCUCUAGAAGGUUCUUCCAGACCUCUGGGGGCUGAGUCAUUUCAACACUCCUGGGCCGGGCAGGGCUUCUUCUUGGUCCCGAGGGACAAGGUCCCCUUCGUCCGGGGGGUACGGCCCCUGGACCCCUGUCCCCCGCACCCCACCCUCCGCCUGGUGAGGGCCGCGGCCAGCUCUGGACACAGAUCCCUCAGAGCCCCUUCUCCCUCCCUGCUCCCUCGUCUUCCCAAGAUGCCCCGGCCUCCAGGUGGGGCAGCCAGGCGGCAGAAUGUGGUCCAGGCCUCUCGGCCCCACCCACACCACCCACACCUGCCCUGACAGCCUCCAAGACGCAUUCACGUCGCUGCGUUCUGCGUCCUGUCUCCUCAUGGCACAAAACGGUGCCCGCCUAGCUUCCCCCAGAGAAGGGAGAUCGUGCUCCCCGGACGGACCCUGCUCUGCCUGUCCUCCCGCCCGGCCUUCAGGGCCUCUCCCCAAGGGUGGCAGCGAGGAG
ensembl:lncRNA